rnacentral:rRNA from 1 species
CCUACGGGAGGCUGCAGUGGGGAAUCUUCCGCAAUGGGCGAAAGCCAGACGGAGCAACGCCGCGUGAUCGAAUGAAGGCCUUCGGGUUGUAAAGAUCUGUUGACAGGGACGAAUAAGCAAUGCAAAUAGUUUUGUGUAUGACGGUACCUGUUUAGAAAGCUCCGGCUAACUACGUGCCAGCAGCCGCGGUAAUACGUAGGGAGCAAGCGUUGUCCGGAAUUACUGGGCGUAAAGGGCGCGUAGGUGGGCGCUUAAGUCAGGUGUGAAAACUCCGGGCUCAACCUGGAGACUGCACUUGAAACUGGGUGUCUUGAGGGCAGGAGAGGAAAGUGGAAUUCCUAGUGUAGCGGUGAAAUGCGUAGAUAUCACGAAGAACUCCGAUUGCGAAGGCAGUUCACUGGACUGCAACUGACACUGAGGCUCGAAAGUGUGGGUAUCAAACAGGAUUAGAUACCCUUGUAGUC